GGAAUAUUGUAUCGAUAGAUUUGCCGAACUUACCCUAACCCUACAUCUGCAUCUCUUCCGCAAUCAAGAUUUCAUCGCUGUACCUCCUCUACCCUAAUUCUGUUCGUUAACCCUAAGCCAGCGACUAUGGCCGGUGAUUCGAUUGAACCAACGCGCCGCAAGCACCACCGAUCCUCCUCCCCCGACGACGCGGAGGAGCAAUCCAAACGCCGCAAACAUCGCCAUCAUCACCGCCACCGCCACCGCCACCGGAGCAGCAAAGAAAAGGCAGAAACGACCAAGCUGGAGGAAUUGGAAGGUGAUAGAAUCGAUGAUACUGAGGUUGAAUUAAUGAAAUUGGAAAGCACUACGGAGAACGGUGUAGGUUCUUUGAGCGAAGUUCCGGUGAAUCGUAAUGAUUUUUCCGGGUUUGACUAUGAGAUGGAGGAAGGCGAGAUUGUAGAGGAUGAUGGUUUGGUUGAUUUUGUUAAUGAUGAUUCUGACAAGUUCAAAAAGAAUUCACAUUUGGAUGUUGGGUUUGGGGAUAUUAAGAAGAAUCCACAGUCUGAUGUUGAGUUUCGGGAAAUUAAGACCAACGGAUGUGAUGAUUUUAACAUGGGAUUUAAUGGAGAUAGUUUGGAAACAGUUGAUAGAAAGUUUCAGAAAUUGGGGAAGGACAAAACAGAUAGCAAAGAAAGUGGCGAGAUAGAUCAGGAGAGAUUAUCUAAUUCCGUGAGUCUUGCAAAUGGUGGUUAUGAACAUAAAUAUCAGGAAGUGGAUAGUACACGUUUCUCUAGAGAUGAUAAGCAGAUUCACAACUUUGCUGAUGAAGUUGACCGAACAGGUUUGAGGAAAUCUUCAUCUUCUGAGAAAGUGCCUGGGGCCGGAUCCAACUCUCAUGAAACUCACCUGAAAGAGAGAUCAUAUAGUAACCUAUUGAGGUCUCCUGAAUUGUCUAGGGGAAGGUCCCGGUCCCGGUCCCGAAGUAUCGUACGUGAAGCUUCCGUGGAAGACCCCUAUUGUAGGGAGAGGAAACAUCGGAGUGGAUCUGAUGAUGAACGGACUGCUAGAGAUGCCAAACUGUACAGGCACAGCUGCAGGGACAUCAAGGAUAAAGAACGGGAGCGUAGCCCUAGCAGCAGAUAUACAGAGAGAGUAGAAAGACACAGGGAGGCUCGGGACCCUUACAGGGAGGGCAGCAGGGACAGGGAUUGGGAUAGAGAUAGAGAUAGAAUUAGAGACAAAGGAAGGAAGGAGGAGGACAUCGUAAGAGAUAGAGAAAGAAACAGGCUUCGAGACAGAUACCGAGGAGAAAGGGGGCAAGAGAGGGUGAGUGGGAGGGAGAGGGAGAGGGAGAGGGAGAGAGACAGGGACAGGGAUCAUGUAAGAGAAGACUAUAUCAGGGAUCGGGAGAGAGAUCGACAAGGGGUUGGAGAUGACAGAAGGGCUAGAAGCAGGGAUAAUGAUAUUGAUCGAUUAAGCAGAUGCCAGAAAUAUGAGAAGGGUGAAGAUGCUCAUAAAGAUAGGUAUAAUGAAACCAGGCACCGAAGAAACUAUGAAGAUUACCAUACAGAGAAUACAGGAAGUGAUUUUGAAAAUGAGAGAUCUAAAGAUAAAGAGGGAAAUGAGAAGUUGGAGAGAGAUCUUGACAGGCAAGAGGACUAUCAAGAAAAGAUCGCAGUGCAACUUGCUGAGCAGGAAGAGGAUGAUCUUGAGAGAAUCAAGGAGGAAAGUAGGAGGCGAAGGCAAGCUAUCCUUGAAAAGUACAAAAACAAACAGCAAAAAUCUGAAACUCAUUUACAAGUUGUGGAUGCAGUUGUAGAUACGCUAGCACAAGUGGCAUCUGCUGAACUUCUACCAGAAAACUCUGACAAUCAGACUGAAGGAGUAGAUGAUUAUGUCCCUGAACCGUCCUUUGCUGUGGGGAAAUUGCCUUCGCAAAAUGGUGUUUCAACUGUUGAAAUGCCCACUGGAACUGGCGGGCUAGGAGAGGGUACUCCCAAGAGCGAGAGAUCCAAUGAUAUGUUUUGUGAUGAUAUAUUUGGAGAAUCACCUGCUGGAAUUCGUAAAACGGGUAAAGGGGAUGGUAUAGCUGUUGAAAAGAGUGGACUAAAUGACAACUGGGAUGAUGCCGAAGGUUACUAUGGCUACCGUUUCGGGGAAGUACUUGAUGGCCGUUAUGAGAUAAUAGCUUCCCAUGGAAAAGGUGUAUUUUCAACUGUUGUUCGGGCAAAGGAUCUAAAGGCAAAGCCUGGGGACACUGAUGAAGUUGCAAUUAAAAUUAUACGUAAUAAUGAAACAAUGUAUAAGGCUGGUAUGGAAGAGUUGGUCAUAUUAAAGAAGUUGGCUGGUGCUGAUCCUGAGAGCAAGCGCCAUUGUGUUCGUUUUCUUUCUACCUUCAAGUACCGGAAUCAUCUAUGCUUAGUUUUUGAAUCUCUUCAUAUGAAUUUACGAGAAGUUCUGAAGAAAUUUGGUCGUAAUAUUGGUCUGAAGCUUACAGCUGUGAGGGCAUAUGCUAAGCAACUAUUCAUAGCAUUGAAACAUUUGAAAAAUUGUGGCGUUCUCCAUUGUGAUAUCAAACCUGAUAAUAUGCUGGUCAAUGAAGCAAAAAACGUAUUGAAGCUUUGCGACUUCGGUAAUGCCAUGUUUGCCGGUAAAAAUGAAAUCACACCCUAUCUUGUUAGCCGUUUUUAUCGCGCCCCUGAGAUAAUUCUAGGACUAUCAUAUGACCUUCCCAUGGAUAUAUGGUCAGUUGGUUGCUGUUUGUUUGAGCUUUACACUGGGAAGGUCUUAUUUCCUGGUGCUACUAACAAUGACAUGCUUCGCCUUCACAUGGAAUUGAAAGGUCCUUUCCCUAAAAAGAUGCUUCGUAAGGGAGCAUUUACAGAUCAGCACUUUGACCAGGAUCUGAAUUUUCUCGCGACAGAUGAGGACCCAGUCUCAAAAAAGCCAAUAAGGAGGCUGCUUGUAAAUAUCAAGCCAAAAGACUUUGGCACAUUAAUUUCAGGAUCUCCUGGUGAGGAUCCAAAAAUGGUUGCUAAUUUUAGAGAUCUUAUGGAAAAGAUAUUUGUCCUGGAUCCAGACAAGAGGUUGAAUGUAUCACAGGCCUUGGGCCAUCCUUUCAUCACGGGCAAGUGAACCAUGAUGCUGAUUUCUGACUACAGAACUGCUGUUGCAUUAGAUACUUAUGCAUUAUGCUCUCGUCUCAAUACUGAAUUAUCUAAUUGGACAUUUAUCUGUCUUUGUCUGCUGUCUGGGAGCAAGAAUUCAGGAGACAGUGAAUGGGGCAUGGUUGGAUUUCUUAGAGAUGACCUUUGGGCAGGCUGUUAUCGUGGAGUUCUUUCCAUGGAUACUUUUCUGUUUCUAUUGAUUCUUCUUAUGCUAUGAAGAAACUGUUCAAUGCUUUAGAUGAUUAAAGGCACUCUGGAGAAGGACUGUAUGCCCCGGAGAUGUUAGGAUGCUGCUCUGAAGUAUGAAAUAACUCAAGGUUGAGCAUCCCCCCUUGACGCUGGUGAGUGACCUCUGUGUUCCCUGCUGUUUUUGGUCUCUUCUUUUUUCCUGUCAAAUCUGGCCUGUGAUGCUUAGACAUCCCUGGCAUCAUGUUCAUCUGUCUAUUCAAUUCCUUUCAAAUUACUGGUCCAGUUGGUUUCAACUUUUUUCAUUGACGAACUUUCAAUUUACUGGUCCAGCUAUGGAUAGGACCCUUGUUUUGUACGCAAAUCCGUUUUCCUGCAGUUCAUGGCUUUCAAAAAGUGAGAAGCUCUUACUCUUGGCCCUACAUCUGAAUUUUAAUUAAACUCAUUUAAAAAAUUCUUAUCCCCCAUCCCAACAAAGGAAAAUAGAUCAUAUUUGAACUAGAAAAUCUAGAAUGAAUUUCGUCUAUGCUUGAAAGUACUAUUAUAUGCAAGCUUAUAAUCAAUUUCCAAGUGUGCGCAAACUAUAGGCUGUCAUUAAUGUUUGGUUUGAGAUUUUUUUCAAUUUUAGAUGUUUUGUGUUAAAUGAAAAUAUGAUUUGCACAUGUACCAUGUUAAGAGCAAUGAUGCUAAGGUGGGUUCAUAAAUUAUAAAUACUGUAUGAAUUUGAUGUGUACUUAAAUAAACUUCAGAUUAGGUAAACCAUUUACUUAAAUAAAUAAUUAAAAAAAGAUUUGCUGAGAGCUCAGUAUUGGUGAAGCAGCAUUCUCUUAUUACAUGGAUGGAAUGGGCAAAUGGAGAGGUAUAUCUGUCUCUUGAAGCAGUGAUUCCAUGUCUUUUAACUCGAUCAACUGUCAACAUGCCACAACGUACUUAAAUGUAAUGAGAUUGAAGUGCCAUGCCACAUGUUUUACCUGUUGGAUAAACAUGCAUCACUUCUCCUUCUAUAACUGUGUUUCUUAUAGUACUAAAAAACAUUGAAACUUUUUCUGUUUAAAAAUAUGGAGUAUUGGUUAAUGUUGUUCUGGCAAGUGUUGAGAGAGUGAUGCGCGCUGUAAGACGAUAUAUGGUGCAGAGUUGUAAAGUUAAUUUUACAUUUUGUUCA